rnacentral:rRNA from 1 species
AGAGUUUGAUCUUGGCUCAGGACGAACGCUGGCGGCGUGCCUAAUACAUGCAAGUCGAGCGAGCUUGCCUAGAUGAUUUUAGUGCUUGCACUAAAUGAAACUAGAUACGAGCGAGCGGCGGACGGGUGAGUAACACGUGGGUAACCUGCCCAAGAGACUGGGAUAACACCUGGAAACAGAUGCUAAUACCGGAUAACAACACUAGACGCAUGUCUAGAGUUUGAAAGAUGGUUCUGCUAUCACUCUUGGAUGGACCUGCGGUGCAUUAGCUAGUUGGUAAGGUAACGGCUUACCAAGGCAAUGAUGCAUAGCCGAGUUGAGAGACUGAUCGGCCACAUUGGGACUGAGACACGGCCCAAACUCCUACGGGAGGCAGCAGUAGGGAAUCUUCCACAAUGGACGAAAGUCUGAUGGAGCAACGCCGCGUGAGUGAAGAAGGGUUUCGGCUCGUAAAGCUCUGUUGGUAGUGAAGAAAGAUAGAGGUAGUAACUGGCCUUUAUUUGACGGUAAUUACUUAGAAAGUCACGGCUAACUACGUGCCAGCAGCCGCGGUAAUACGUAGGUGGCAAGCGUUGUCCGGAUUUAUUGGGCGUAAAGCGAGUGCAGGCGGUUCAAUAAGUCUGAUGUGAAAGCCUUCGGCUCAACCGGAGAAUUGCAUCAGAAACUGUUGAACUUGAGUGCAGAAGAGGAGAGUGGAACUCCAUGUGUAGCGGUGGAAUGCGUAGAUAUAUGGAAGAACACCAGUGGCGAAGGCGGCUCUCUGGUCUGCAACUGACGCUGAGGCUCGAAAGCAUGGGUAGCGAACAGGAUUAGAUACCCUGGUAGUCC